UACGUAGGGUGCGAGCGUUAAUCGGAAUUACUGGGCGUAAAGCGUGCGCAGGUGGUUUGUUAAGUCAGAUGUGAAAGCCCCGAGCUUAACUUGGGAACUGCGUUUGAAACUGGCAAGCUAGAGUCUGUCAGAGGGGGGUAGAAUUCCACGUGUAGCAGUGAAAUGCGUAGAGAUGUGGAGGAACACCAGCGGCGAAGGCGGCCUUCUGGCCCAUAACUGACGCUGUAGCGCGAAAGCGUGGGGAGCGAACGGGAUUAGAUACCCCGGUAGUCCACGCCCUAAACUUUGUGCACUAGGUGUUGGGUGUAUUGACGCGCUCAGCGCCGUAGCUAACGCAUUAAGUGCACCGCCUGGGGACUACGACCGCAAGGUUAAAACUCA
rnacentral:rRNA from 1 species